GAAUUGUGCACUUGGGGAGCUUGGCUCUUGAGACAGGAGUCUUGCUGAUGCUCCUGGCUGAAUAAACCCCUUCCUUCUUUAACUCGGUGUCUGAGGGUUUUUUUCUGAGGCUCUUCAUGCUACAUUUCUUGGUUCUCUGACUGGGAAGUGAGGUGAUUGGCGGAUGGUUAAGGCAGCUCCUUAGGUGGCUUAAGCUUGCCCUGUGGAACAACCCUGAGGGGGACUCUGACCAGCCCGAGCAAUGUGGAUCCUGAGAGGACUCCCGGGUAGGCAUUUGCCCUGGUGGGAUGCCUCGCCAGAGCAGUGUGUGGCAGGCCCCCGUGGAGGAUCAACACAGUGGCUGAACACCAGGAAGGAACUGGCACUUGGAGUCCGGACAUCUAAAACGUGUGAUUCUCCAAGGGCAAAUGAAUUUUGACCAGGAAGACAGUGAAGAAAUUUCAUAAAAGUGAAAUACUAAUUGGAAGCUCCUAUCGGCAUUGGUUGAUCUGACAAGUUGUGUGUAUAGAAACUAGCCUAUAUGGAGACACGAAUGUCAAAAGAAGUUUUACCGAUGAUAGAAAUAUGAGAGGAUCAUUAUGUAUUCUUCAAGAAAAAGAAAUAUGGCAAAGGAUAGUAAAGGUAAUACUGCCAAAAAUAUCCAGAUUGUAUUGAAGAAAAUUGUGAAAAAAAGGACCAGAGUCAAAGUUAUUUUUCUAGGAGGAGAAGAACACAUUGCAGAACAGAAGAUGGCAAAUAAAUGCUUUUCCAUGAAAGAGGCACAGAUUGCUUCUACUUACCAAAGCAAGUCACAUGGCCAUGCCUCACCAAGGAGUUAAGAAAGCAGAGUCCUCCCAAGGAAGCAUGUGUCCAGGAAAGAACUGUAUAUUGUUGACUAGCAACAAUGUCUGACACCUUGACUUAAACUUUACGUUACAAAUUUCUGAUCACAUUAGCUAUAACCUUUUGAAACUUACCAAUAGGCUGGCCACAGUGGCCCACACCUGUAAUCCCAGCACUUUGGGAGGCUGAGGAGGGCAGAUCAUGAGGUGAGGAGAUUGAGACCAUCCUGGCUAACACUGUGAAAUCCCGUCUCUACUAAAAAUACAAAAAAAUUUCCGGGUGUGGUGGCGUGCGCUUGUAGUUCCAGCUACUUGGGAGGCUGAAGCAGAAGAAUCACUUGAACCUGGGAGGCAGAGGUUGCAGUGACCCGAGGCCGCACCACUGCACUCCAGCCUGGGUGACAGAGUGAGACUCCUUCUCAAAAAAAAAAAAAAAAAAAAAACGGAAAAAAAAAAGAAA